UACGUAGGGUGCGAGCGUUGUCCGGAAUUAUUGGGCGUAAAGGGCUCGUAGGCGGUCUGUCACGUCGGGAGUGAAAACACGGGGCUUAACCCCGUGCCUGCUUCCGAUACGGGCAGACUAGAGGUAUGCAGGGGAGAACGGAAUUCCUGGUGUAGCGGUGAAAUGCGCAGAUAUCAGGAGGAACACCGGUGGCGAAGGCGGCCCCCUGGACAAAGACUGACGCUCAGGUGCGAAAGCGUGGGGAGCAAACAGG
rnacentral:rRNA from 1 species